AUGGUACAUAUAUGUAUAUAUAUGCACAAAUAAAAGCGCGUGCGAGUACAAUUGUUUAAGCUUAGAGCAGGUUCUCUCGACUGAAGUAUGGUGGAGUUCAAUAUUUAUUACGAUGUCGCCAGAGGUCGCGGAGUUAAACUGCAAAGGCAACAGGGUCAGCAUUGAGCCGCGGCCAAAGGAAAACGACGCGACAGGUCGCGAUAAAAGGAAUGUGACAUAAGUUGGGGGUUGCUUAUCGAUAUUGCUUGAAAAUAUGCAACGACACUGCGCGAGAAGAAAAGUCAUUAACACGACGCUCGGCGCAAGAAACGCAGCGAUAAGGUAUCACGCGGUUUCAUCGACGGGGUACCCAGCUAAGAAAUCCUAGCAAUCGCAAGCGAAAGCGCGCGCGCACGCGCACAUAUGCUACCGCAUCGAAUUAACUAACGUAUAGACCUGAAUAAAGAGCGGAGGAAAAUAAAUGCGCGCAUAGCAAGUGGGCAACUUUAGAAGUAUAUUUAGGAUUUACUACUGUCCGGAAGGAAUAACAGAUAUUUCGUUCAUUUAUCAGCGGCUGAUAACUUUGAAACCGAUAAGGAUUCUCUUCAUAUACCGUGAACCUUCAUGAACCGUAUCGUUCUCCCCUUGAGAAUGAUAUAAUUUGCAUAAAAAUCGCAAACUUUUACAUUUUAACUAUAACUAAACGAGUAUGAUAGUUAGAUGAUGUAAAUAAUCUGUCAAAAUACGAAUAGCAGAUGUUCUAGAUGCUGUAAGAACAAAAAAUGUAAAGAUAACAUGAGAAAUAUAUUGACAACUUCAAAAAUCAUUAACAUAACAGCAGGAUCUUAUUAUAAUCCGUGCAAAGAAGAUACCGAUUUUUUUUUGCAUUAUUAGCGAACAUCAGGAAGCGAAUUGUUUUUUUUUUCUUUCUUUCGUUUUUUUUUUUUAAUAUAAAACGAUGCCGUUGGUUGUUUUGUUCGUGCUUAAAACAAAAGAUUCUUGUAUAUUGUGAAAUAAAAUCGAUAUUGCAUUGCAGAUCUUUUUUAAUCAAAUAAUCAUAUGGGUUUCUAGCAGAUCCUUUCAUUGCGAAUUCUUUUUAAAACUUGCUCAUAUUUAUUUACUAAUAUUUACAAUUAGUGAAAAUAAAAGUAAAUGUGAAGUAAAUGAACAUAUUAAUUUUGAUUUUUAUUGAAAUGCGUCUAUUUAGUUCAAUAAAUAUAAUCUAUAGAAAAUUCUCUUAUUUCUUAUGAUUCAAAGCUUUAAAAUUUCAAACUUGUUUCCAAUUCAAGUCUUUAUAUUAUUAAUAUUAUAUAUCAUUAAUAUCGAUUAAUAAUAAAAAUAUAAUGAAUCAAUAAAAUCAAAAUAAACGUAUUGAAAUAUUUC